rnacentral:rRNA from 1 species
UAAUCUGCGAUAAGCGUCGGUAAGGUGAUAUGAACCGUUAUAACCGGCGAUUUCCGAAUGGGGAAACCCAGUGUGUUUCGACACACUAUCAUUAACUGAAUCCAUAGGUUAAUGAGGCGAACCGGGGGAACUGAAACAUCUAAGUACCCCGAGGAAAAGAAAUCAACCGAGAUUCCCCCAGUAGCGGCGAGCGAACGGGGAGCAGCCCAGAGCCUGAAUCAGUGUGUGUGUUAGUGGAAGCGUCUGGAAAGGCGCGCGAUACAGGGUGACAGCCCCGUACACAAAAAUGCACAUACUGUGAGCUCGAUGAGUAGGGCGGGACACGUGGUAUCCUGUCUGAAUAUGGGGGGACCAUCCUCCAAGGCUAAAUACUCCUGACUGACCGAUAGUGAACCAGUACCGUGAGGGAAAGGCGAAAAGAACCCCGGCGAGGGGAGUGAAAAAGAACCUGAAACCGUGUACGUACAAGCAGUGGGAGCCUCUUAAUGGGGUGACUGCGUACCUUUUGUAUAAUGGGUCAGCGACUUAUAUUCUGUAGCAAGGUUAACCGAAUAGGGGAGCCGAAGGGAAACCGAGUCUUAACUGGGCGUUAAGUUGCAGGGUAUAGACCCGAAACCCGGUGAUCUAGCCAUGGGCAGGUUGAAGGUUGGGUAACACUAACUGGAGGACCGAACCGACUAAUGUUGAAAAAUUAGCGGAUGACUUGUGGCUGGGGGUGAAAGGCCAAUCAAACCGGGAGAUAGCUGGUUCUCCCCGAAAGCUAUUUAGGUAGCGCCUCGUGAAUUCAUCUCCGGGGGUAGAGCACUGUUUCGGCAAGGGGGUCAUCCCGACUUACCAACCCGAUGCAAACUGCGAAUACCGGAGAAUGUUAUCACGGGAGACACACGGCGGGUGCUAACGUCCGUCGUGAAGAGGGAAACAACCCAGACCGCCAGCUAAGGUCCCAAAGUCAUGGUUAAGUGGGAAA